ACCGGCGGCUCGAGUGGUGGCCACUAUUACUGGGCUUAAAGGGUUGGUAGCUGGCUUGUUAAGUCUCUUGAGAAAUCUUCCGGCUCAACCGGUAGGGGGCCCAGGGAUAGUGGCAGGCCAGGGGUCGGAAGAGGUGAUAGGUACUCCUGGGGUAGGAGUGAAAUCCUGUGAUCCUUGGGGGACCACCUGUGGCGAAGGCGUCUCACCAGGACGGCUCCGACAGUGAGGAGCGAAAGCUGGGGGAGCAAACCG
rnacentral:rRNA from 1 species